GGUUUAUGGAUUAAAGCUACGGCGCUUAAAGAUUGGUCGUGCGUCUGAUUAGCUAGUUGUAGGGUAACGCCUACCAAGGCUACGAUCAGUAGGGGGCUGAGAGCGUGGCCCCCCACACGGGUACUGAGACACGGACCCGACUCCUACGGGAGGCAGCAGUAAGGAAUAUUGGGCAAUGGACGGAAGUCUGACCCAGCCAUCCCGCGUGCAGGACGAAUGCCCUAUGGGUUGUAAACUGCUUUUGUUUGGGAAGAAAUGUAUUCUUUUAAGAGUAUUUGACGGUACCAGACGAAUAAGCACCGGCUAACUCCGUG
rnacentral:rRNA from 1 species